rnacentral:rRNA from 1 species
UACGAAGGGGGCUAGCGUUGUUCGGAAUUACUGGGCGUAAAGCGCACGUAGGCGGAUACUUAAGUUAGGGGUGAAAUCCCGGGGCUCAACUCCGGAACUGCCUUUAAUACUGGGUAUCUCGAGUUCGAGAGAGGUGAGUGGAAUUCCGAGUGUAGAGGUGAAAUUCGUAGAUAUUCGGAGGAACACCAGUGGCGAAGGCGGCUCACUGGCUCGAUACUGACGCUGAGGUGCGAAAGCGUGGGGAGCAAACAGG